rnacentral:rRNA from 1 species
AAUGGGUCAGCGACUUAUAUUCUGUAGCAAGGUUAACCGAAUAGGGGAGCCGAAGGGAAACCGAGUCUUAACUGGGCGUUAAGUUGCAGGGUAUAGACCCGAAACCCGGUGAUCUAGCCAUGGGCAGGUUGAAGGUUGGGUAACACUAACUGGAGGACCGAACCGACUAAUGUUGAAAAAUUAGCGGAUGACUUGUGGCUGGGGGUGAAAGGCCAAUCAAACCGGGAGAUAGCUGGUUCUCCCCGAAAGCUAUUUAGGUAGCGCCUCGUGAAUUCAUCUCCGGGGGUAGAGCACUGUUUCGGCAAGGGGGUCAUCCCGACUUACCAACCCGAUGCAAACUGCGAAUACCGGAGAAUGUUAUCACGGGAGACACACGGCGGGUGCUAACGUCCGUCGUGAAGAGGGAAACAACCCAGACCGCCAGCUAAGGUCCCAAAGUCAUGGUUAAGUGGGAAACGAUGUGGGAAGGCCCAGACAGCCAGGAUGUUGGCUUAGAAGCAGCCAUCAUUUAAAGAAAGCGUAAUAGCUCACUGGUCGAGUCGGCCUGCGCGGAAGAUGUAACGGGGCUAAACCAUGCACCGAAGCUGCGGCAGCGACGCUUAUGCGUUGUUGGGUAGGGGAGCGUUCUGUAAGCCUGUGAAGGUGUACUGUGAGGUAUGCUGGAGGUAUCAGAAGUGCGAAUGCUGACAUAAGUAACGAUAAAGCGGGUGAAAAGCCCGCUCGCCGGAAGACCAAGGGUUCCUGUCCAACGUUAAUCGGGGCAGGGUGAGUCGACCCCUAAGGCGAGGC